rnacentral:lncRNA from 1 species
UUUUUUUGGGUCCACUCUCGCACCAACGCCCCACGCACACUCGCACUAAAAUGUUGUAUUGGCUCCAUGACCACACACACACCACUUCAGUAUCACUGUUACAUUUAUACAUGUCAGAAAAACAAAUCCAAUUGACGCAGUGUUACACAACAGAAGCCUAAUGCCACUGGCUUGUUUCUCCCCGGUCCCUCACACCCACCACUCGCACGACACCAUGAACUGAACAUGUAGCAGAAAACCAAAUCUGCCUACUCGUAUAUCCCCACCGCACACAACCCAACAUCCCCACAGCUCGACCCUUCAACAGUCCAGGCUUAUCCCAUGCUGUUAUUUCCCCUUCUUGAUAAACAGAUCGCACACACACACCGUGAGUAUAACAGAACACCAAUAUUCUAUCCUCAGGUAUCUGCCGUCAGCGAUGAAUGUCAUAAAUCUUUUGACAUUCUAAUCUGUAGGUUAGCUAAGACCGCAGCAUACUACUCAACAGUAUGUCAUGACAUCAUCAAGACAUCAGAGGUAACAGCUCGAUAUCCAACCCAAUGCAGUCAACAAACAUCUCCACAAAUGCAUGACAUCGGAGUCAAGACAUGUAGAGAGUCCAGCAGUGGUUUACCCAUAAAUGCACUAAUCAAGCCAGUCUACAAACCCCCUUUGGCAAAUUUUUGUCUAAAACACUCUGGCGCAUCACCAACUAGAGUACACCGCAGCGGAACAACACACACUAUGGCAGAAAAAGAAUUAGCUAAUGACACUCAGAGCAGCAUCGCACAGCUCACACGGGACACAUAAGAGGUGGAACAUCAGCUGCAGGGGAUUGCAACCUCGGAUUAGAGGAUCUUGAAUAUCUGGUUAGCAACGAAUCUGUCGCUGAAGGCAUCACAGGUGUACCCCGCUUGUUGUCAAAUAAUGUUAACCAAAGCAACACUUUAAAUACAGCCGCAACAUAACCGAAACACAUACUGACAGCAACACAAUCUUGAUUUACUUCAUUUAGUUCACAGAGAAUACCCCUCGUUGAUGCCUUGGGGCUCAGCUUUGAUCACGACCGGGCCACGGGCAUUGAUCUGCCUUCACAGCUUUGAUCAAGUAGGUCCACACCUUGGCUUCACAGCAGUACGCCGCGAUAUCAGAUCCAUGGACGUUGAGUCUGACAUCUUGACAACUCUGCUGAACACUUUCUUGAAGUCCAGCCAGGCACACGGUAGCUGUCUCAGUAGAUAUCCUGAACACUUGUUACGCGACAGCUUGCACAUGAACAUAGCAAUAUCGGCCCCGGGGUUCAGUCAGUAGCAACUUUACUUGUUUAAUGUGGAUAUAAACAAAUAACACCCACAUACAUGGUUGCUAUAAAUCCUCCAGACCAGCAUAUUCCCAAUUGCACCCUUACAAUUUUCACGAACGAGUAGCAUCCAGAGCCUUUGUAAAUAUGUCGAGCCGAGUUGUAGUUCAGUGGGCUCAUUUUCCAAGGUAAUCACUUUGUCUUCCACCAGAUCUCUGAUGAAGUGAUGUCUAAUGUCAAUAUGUUUGGUCCUGCUGUGUUGGAUGGGAUUCUUGGAAAUGUUGAUGGCACUGAGAUUGUCACAGUACAAAGUCAUGACAUUUUGAGAGACAUUGUACUCAGUAAGCAUCUGUUUCAUCCACACCAGUUGGGAACAACUGCUUUCAGUUGCUAUGUAUUCAGCCUCUGUAGUGGACAGAGAUACACAUUUCUGUUUCUUGCUGAACCAUGAUAUGAGAUUGUUUCCCAAGGAGAAACAUCCUCCUGAGGUGCUUUUUCUAUCAUCUGCACUCCCAGCCCAAUCAGCAUCACAAUACCCAGAUAAGACAGGUUUAGAGCCAUGAGAGUAUAGCAUCCCAUAGUCACAAGUCCCAUUGACAUACUUGAGAAUCCUCUUGACUUGAUUUAGGUGGCUCAGUUUGGGUUCUGCUUGGUAUCUAGCACACACUCCAACUGCAUAGGAAAUAUCAGGUCUACUUGCAGUAAGAUAUAGUAGACUACCUAUCAUGCUUCUAUACAAGCAUUGAUCAACACUGGGACCUCCAUCAUCUUUGGUUAACUUUAAAUGAGUAGGUGCAGGAGUUCUCUUGUGCCUAGCAUUAUCCAUACCAAACUUCUUAACUAUGUUUUUGGCAUAUUUGCUUUGGGAGAGAAACAUAGAAUCCUCCAUUUGGUUAACUUGCAUUCCAAGAAAAUAAGCCAAUUCCCCAACCAGACUCAUUUCAAACUCAGAUUGCAUCUGGUGAACAGAAUGUUUCACCAUUUGCUCUGACAUUCCACCAAAGACAAUAUCAUCCACAUAAAUUUGGGCAAUCAUGAUUUUGCCAUCUUCAUCCUUCACAAACAAGGUCUUAUCUAUCCCACUUUUUCUGUACCCAUGAGAGGUCAGAAAUUCAGUCAACCUUUCAUACCAAGCUCUAGGUGCUUGCUUCAACCCAUACAAGGCUUUCCUCAACUUAUACACAUGUUUAGGUUGGUUAGGAUCACAUAACCCUUUAGGUUGUUCCACAUAGACCUCUUCAUUCAAGUAGCCAUUUAAAAAGGCACUCUUCACAUCCAUUUGGAACAAUUUGAACUUCAGAAUGCAGGCCACACCUAAUAGUAAUCUGAUUGACUCAAGUCUAGCAACAGGUGCAAAUGCCUCAUCAAAAUCAACCCCUUCAACUUGAGUAUAUCCUUGAGCCACUAGUCUUGCUUUAUUUCUAGUGAUUACUCCCUUCUCAUCAGAUUUGUUCUUGUAAAUCCACUUGGUACCAAUGAUGUUAGUCCCUUCAGGUCGUGGAACUAGCUCCCAUACUUCAUUCCUUUUAAACUGCUCAAGUUCCUCUUGCAUGGCAUUGAUCCAGUAUUCGUCAGUCAGGGCUUCUUUCACAUUCUUUGGUUCAACCUUGGAUACAAAACAGGAAUUUGAGCUAAUUCCCCUUGACCUGGUAGUCACACCACUAUUGGGAUCCCCUAUGAUAAGAUCCUUAGGGUGGUCUUUCUGAAUUCUGAUAGAUGGCAUUUUGGUGGGUGCAUCUACCUCACAUUCAGUAGGAGUCUCCUGUACUUCUUCAGACUUGACUGGUAUGUCUGUUGUAGUAUCAAGGAAUGUUCCAACAUCCUCUAUGACAUCGAUUCCUUCCUCUUUAUCAUCCACAAUAACAUUUAUGGAUUCCAUCAGGACAUUGGUCCUGUAGUUGAACACUCUGUACGCUCUGCUGUUAGUUGAGUAUCCUAGGAAUAUACCCUCAUCACUUUUGGGAUCCAUUUUCCUUCUCUGUUCACGAUCUGUGAGAAUGUAGCAUUUACUUCCAAAGAUAUGAAAGUACUUCACAGUGGGUUUUCUGCCUUUCCAUAUUUCAUACAGAGUGGAGGAGGUUCCUUUUCUCAAGGUGACUCUAUUGUGAACAUAGCAAGCGGUAUUCAUAGCUUCAGCCCAAAAGUGCAUAGGGAGCUUCUUUGCAUGAAUCAUAGCUCUGGCAGAUUCUUGAAUAGUUCUAUUUUUCCUUUCAACUAUCCCAUUCUGCUGAGGAGUUAUAGGAGAGGAGAACUCAUGACUUAUUCCUUCAGACGAGCAAAACUCAUCAAACUUGGAAUUUUUGAACUCCGUACCAUGAUCACUCCUAAUUCGGACAACACAACUGUCCUUUUCCCUUUGAAGUCUGAUGCACAGGUCUUUGAAGACAUCAAAUGUAUCUGACUUCUCUCUGAUGAAACUUAUCCACGUGUAUCUGGAAUGGUCAUCAACCACCACGUAUGCAUAUCUCUUUCCACCCAGACUUUCAACCUGCAUAGGUCCCAUUAAGUCCAUGUGCAACAGUUCCAGAACUCUGGAAGUUGUAGGAUGUCCCAGCUUCGGAUGUGACAUCUUGGUUUGCUUGCCCACCUGGCAUUCUCCACAGACUCUUCCUUCAUCAAUAAGCAGCUUUGGGAUUCCUCUAACUGCUUCCUUGGAUAUGAUCUUUUUCAUUCCCCUUAAGUGGAGAUGACCAAGGCGUCUAUGCCACAGCUUCACCUCCUGUUCUUCCUUGGCUGAGGAGCAAAUUGUGGAGUAGUUUGAGACUUUAGGUUCCCAUAGAUAGCAGUUAUCUUUGGAUCUGGAUCCUCUCAUAACUUCCUGAUUAUCUCCAUUCGUCACAACACAUAGCUCCUUAGUAAACUGAACAUAGAACCCUUGAUCACACAGCUGGCUUAUGCUGAUGAGAUUAGCAGUUAGUCCUUUUACUAACAGCACAUUAUUCAGUUCUGGAACUCCAGAGCUGUCCAGCUUACCCACACCUUUGAUUUUUCCUUUAGCACCAUCACCAAAGGUCACAUAACUGGUAGUGUGAGGUUGUAUAUCCACCAAUAAAUUCUCCAUACCAGUCAUAUGUCUUGAGCAGCCACUAUCAAAGUACCAGUCUUCUCUGGUAGAUGCCCUUAGAGCUGUGUGAGCUAACCUAGCAAACCAUUGUUGUUUCUUGGUGGGGGCAUUAUGCUUAUAUGCCUUAUGCUUAGGUCUGACAUGAGGGGUUUGGUUAGGAUAACCAUGCAGUCUAUAGCAGAAGGCUUUUAUAUGACCAAGCCUACCACAGUAGUGACACCUCCAUCUCUGAAAUUUCUUCUUCUGAUGGUUACUCAUCCUGGUUCCCUGAUGUUGAGACAUUGGGUGUGACCUCCGCUUGAAUUUCUGAACUUUAGCCUUUGGGCGUUUGAGUUCAGCUGAGGAUUUCUUCACAAAGCCUAACCCAAACAUGGUUCCUGACUUCUGUCCAACCUUUAGGAUCUCUUCCAAUGUGUCCGUUCCUUUAUUCAGCAUUCUGAUGGAUUUCGUCAUUUGAUCUAGCUUGGAGGUCAGCAAGGUAAUCUCACCAUUUAGACCAUAUAUGACUGUCAGAUGCUUCUGUUUCUCAUCCUCCAGCUCCUUGAUGAGUUUCUUUUGCUUUUCUCCUUGUACAUGUACUUCUGCACUUUUGACACAUAGCUAUUUAUAUGAUACAGCAAGUUCAUCAAAGGUCAGUUCAUCUCCACUUGAGUCAUCAUCAGUGGCACAAACACUAGUUAGUGCAGUAACAUGUUUAGCAGAUUCUCCUUCAGAUUCACUCUCAGAGUCUCCUUCAGACCAUGUGACAGAUAGCCCUUUCUUUUGCAUCUUGAGGUAAGUAGGGCAUUCAGCUCUAACGUGUCCAAAACCUUCACAUCCAUGACACUGGAUUCCCUUGCCUUGGUUGAACUUUUCUUCAGAAGUUGAUCUUCUCCUGAUGUCAGACGAGAUGUUCUUGACAUUUGGUCUACCUUUUUGAUCAAUCUUCUUUAUGAACUUGUUGAACUGUCUCCCAAGCAUGGCUAUGGCUUCUGAUAUGCUUUCAUCACCUCCAGUACUUCAUGCUUCUGAAUCCUCUUCAGAAUUUGAUACAAAAGCUACGCUUUUGUUCUUCUUUUCAACAUUCUCACACAAGCCCAUUUCAAAGGUUUGGAGAGAACCAAUGAGCUCAUCCACCUGCAUAUUGCAGAUCUCCUGAGCCUCUUAUAUAGCAGUGACCUUCAUGGCAAAUCUCUUAGGUAAUGACCUGAGAAUCUUUCUUACAAGUUUCUCUUCAGCCAUUUUCUCACCUAAGCCAUCAGAGGUGUUGGCAAUUUCAAGAAUAUUCAUGUGGAAGUCAUGAAUAGUCUCAUCCUUUUUCAUCCUCAGAUUUUCAAACUUGGUGGUCAGCAUCUGAAGUUUAGACAUCUUCACCUUGGAGGUACCUUCAUGAGUUAUCUUGAGGGUAUCCCAAACUUCCUUAGCCAGCUUACAGUGGUGCACCAAUCUGAAGAUGUUCUUACUUAUUCCAUUGAACAAUGCAUUCAAGGCCUUAGAAUUUCCAAGGGCUAAUGCCUCUUUCUCCUUGUCUCACUCUUCUUUAAGAAUUUGCACACUGACUCCAUCUUUACUUGUCUUCGUUGGAUGUUCCCAUCCUUUAUUGACAGCUCUCCAGAAUUUGCUAUCUAGAGAUCUUAAGAAGGCUAUCAUACGAGGCUUCCAGUCAUCAUAGUUAGAACCAUCCAACAUGGGUGGUCUAUUUGAGUAUCCUACAUCCUUGUCCAUGGUACUAGAAAGUAACUUCCCUAGAUCUCACCCAGAAAUUAACAGGCAGGGUGCCUGCUCUGAUGCCAAUUGAAAUUCUAGUUAUCAGACUUUCGAUGUCACACGGGUUGUUAUGACAUCCAAUUCUGCGCAGACAAGAAUUAUGCAGAACUUAAAAAGUAAGUGCAGUAAAUAACACAAGUAAUUGUUUACCCAGUUCGGUCCAACAUGACCUACGUCUGGGGGCUACCAAGCCAGGGAGGAAAUCCACUAUUAGUAGUAUUAAUUCAGACCUUAAACCAACUGUUUAACCCUAUCACUUAAUACCUACCCAAUGCAAUUUCAAUCUUACUCUAAGAUCAGAGUUCCUACUCACUCCCCCUCAAUCACCUCAGUGAUUACAACCUUUAAUUAUAUUAAAGUUUAUAGUGAAGUCACACUUCAAACAACUCUUGAUUGUGCUUAACAACUUUAAUCAAGAUACACAGCACUCACGCUUAAAAGCUUAGAGUGACACAACACUUACAACUCAAUGAACACCCUAUACCAAUGCAAUCAUCUAAGUGAUAAUGGCUUGGCUCACAAGAUACACCUAAUACAAGACACACACAAAAAUACAGCAGUGAAGUAUGAUGGACAAAUAAAAUCUUCACGCCUAAAAUCCCCGAGUUCUGAAUGAAGGAUUGCCAUCCUUUUAUAUUGCAGCACUUGGGCCUUGUACUUGUAUUUCCUGAAAUUAAGGUCAAGCAAGUUAACCUAAUUUCCACAUAUUAGGGUACUAACAAAUAGGCUAUUUGUUAGGUUCAUUAAUUGUAGCUUAGUUGUUAGUUUCCUGGAUUUUAGCUCAGCUGUUGACUUCCUGAAGAAUAGCCUGAGAAAACUGCUGAAACAGAAAAACUAACCAACCUACAAUUUAGCAUAUGCUGUCAGGAAUGAAUGUCACAACAUUCAGUUUGACGUCCACAUCAUAGACCAUAUGCUAAGUCUGUUUUUCCUGAAAACAGACUGUACAAAGUGUUGUACUGUACAGGACCACUCAGUCCAUACUUCAGUAUCAGCUUACAUUAAUAAAUGUCACAAUAUCCAAUUUGACAUUUACACAAAGAGCCUUAUGCCAUGGUCUGUUGUUCUCCUGAAGAACAGACUGAGAUACAUACUGAAAUGUAGCAGAAAACCAAUCUGCCUAUUGUUCAGUAUAUGUUGUCAAUGAUGAAUGUCAUAACAUCCAGUUUGACAUUCAGACAGUAGGCCUUAUGUCAGGUCUGUUAUUUCCUUGAUAAACAGACUGAAAAUAAAUACUGAGUUAUAACAGAACACCAACUGUUCUAUUCCUCAGUAUCUGCUGUCAGGGAUGAAUGUCAUAACAUCUAGUCUGACAUUCAGUAAGUCCUGUAUUAGCUAAACCUGUAACAUACUACUCAAGUAUGUCAUGACAUCAGCCAAGACAUCAGAGUACAACUAGAUAUUCUAACACACAAUGCAGUCAAACAAACAUCUCCACAGCAUGUCAUGACAUCAGUCAAGACAUUAGAAUCCAUCUAGUGUUUUACCAUAAAAUGCAGCCAAUCAAACAUCUACACAUUUCAAAUCAACUUUGAAAAGUCCAAAUGGAUCAUCCUAAGUUCAACAAGGUCAAACAAAGUUUGACAAAAAAACUCAGCAUUUUUAGAUACCAGAAACUAUUUUUAAACAAUUAAAAAUGAAUAAAAAAUAACCUAAUUGAACUAAAAUCUCAAAUAAAUCUCAAAUCAAUUAAUAUAAGAAUAUUUUUCAUAGAUCCAUCAUCAUUCAAAGAGGUUAAGAAAAUAUUUUUGCAUUUUUUGAAUAUUGGAAACUAUUUAAAAUGAAUUAAAAAUAACCAGAAAAGAGAAAAGUCACAAAAAAUAUCAGAUGACAAGAUAAAAAAUAUUAAAAAUCAUUUUCAGAAACUAGAAUUAAAAAGGGAAAUAAUGCAAUUUGUCCCAUAUUUUUUGGAAUUAAAAUGAAAGAGUUAUGAUUUUUUGAAAUAAAAUGGAAUUAAGAAAAUAAAAUGGAUAAAUAAGAAAAUAGCAAAAAAUCAGGCGCGUUGGAUUGAAUCUCAUUAAAUGACCUAGCACAUCAAGUGGCUUACAGGCGCGCGCUCACCAAAGGCAUGAGUCAACUGAGCAAUAUAGUGAAUUAAUAAAAGUCAUAAGAAUGGAGAGUUGAGAUUAGAUCUGGAGAUUCAAUUCAAUGGUCCAUAAUCAAUUUGGCAAAGGGACGGUGGUGUACACCACCGUCUUCUCCGGCGAGCUCAAGGAUUCCGGCCAGAGUUGCAGGUCAACAAAGCUUAACCAAAUGAAGCGAUCCUCAUAUCAUUGGAAAGCUGUGGUGAUGUACAUCACCCCUGUACCAUUGGUUUUCCCUCUAGAUCCUCAUAGGAAGAGAAAUCAGAGAUGCAAAAUAAUGGAGUUCAAACUGAACUUAAUGGGUUUGCAAAAUUAAGAACACAAUUCAAAUGCCUCUUAUGAGAGGACUUCAUACCAGCCAAUAAACACAAGAAAUGAGCUAUAAUCAGUGAGUUUCGAUUGAAAAAAGUUUGAGCAUCAACCUUGGAAAUGCAAAUCUAUGGAGCACGAUCCUUCACCAAUCUUGAUUGCAGUAUGUUCUUGGGAUGGAGAUGGAGCAAGGCUAAGGAAUUUAAGUCCAAUAAUCAACCAAUGAAGUUGAAAAUUGGAUCUGAAAAUGAAAGUGAAAUUGCACAAUUCCUUUAGAGUGAGGUUUGGAUGGAGUUCUGCAGCAUCUAAGGUGCCUUAAGGUUGGCUUUUGAUGAAGGUAUGCAACUCUAUUUAUAGCAAAAGGCAAUGGAAACAUGGGAAUUUCAUGUGCAUGUGUGAUGAGGGCCUCCAUGCAUGGGCCUGUACAGGCGCAUGGAGGGCCCAAAUCCAAUUGGAAAUGCAAGUUUAACAUCAGCAUAAUAGUUUUGGACGUGCAGAUGUAAUGGAAUUGGAGUGUGCAUGGAGUUUUCAAAUGGUUUCUAAAAAUGCACAUGAAUCUUCUCCUCUUUGAAACUACCUCUUACCAAAAUGAUGAUGUAAUGGAAUUGGAGUGUGCAUGGAGUUUUCAAAUGGUUUCUAAAAAUGCACAUGAAUCUUCUCCUCUUUGAAACUACCUCUUACCAAAAUGAAACAUGGCCUUGUGGGUAAUGGUUGGAAAGGUCUUGACAUGAGGAUCAAUUGUUAUGUUGAACAAAACUACAUUUGGAAUUGGGAAAUUAAUGAAAAUUGGUCAUAAAGUUCAAAGUGCAAAACAUGUGCAUGUGAAAUUUUCCAAAAUGGACCAACUUCAAGGCCUUCUGUUUCAAUGAUGCAAGCUUCAAAUGACAAAUCCUUCAACAUCAAAGUUGUAGAAAUUUUCUUGAAAAUCAAUUUGGAAUUAAAUUUUGAAUCAUUUGGAGUUUUGAUGAGAAAGUUAUGGGCACUUGAAGUUGGACUUUUUCACAUUUCAAUGCCUUUGGUCCAAAGUGACCUAUAAUGUUUUGUAUUAUCACAUGUACUUCUUUUAGGAUUAUGAAAAUUUGUUCAACAUAACAAAUGAAUUAGACAUCAUAAACUUUACAAUUCAUUUGAUACCACCUCAAAAUCAUGAAAAAUGAGUGAGUUAGGUCCUUGGGAAGUUGACCCAAAAUUAGGGUUUCAGUCAAAAUGACCUAUAAUGUUUUGAAAUGGAUGAUGACCUUUCAAGAUUCAAAUCAAUUUUUGAUGAACAUGAAAGUUGUUCAUAUGGUUCUUAAGAACAAUUUUGCUCUUGGGGUCAUCUUCAUUUUACAAACACAUCAAAAGUUAGGUCUCAGUGGAUUUCAAAAUAGUCAGAUGAAUUGACUGAUCAACUUCUCAAGUCCAUACCUCAAAUCUUGAUGAAUUGAUGAUUGAGGACACUCAAAUAAGAUCAAAUAUGCAUGAAAUGAUGAAUGAAAGAACUUCCCUUGAUUAUAUUUGAUCAUGGGUUGAGGUUGCUUCAUGAGCAAGGCAUAAUUGAUGCACAGAUGAAUUAGGGUUUCCUUGGUAAACAAUCCUCAAGCCCUUUGGUUUGCUUUGAUAAAAUUGAAAAUUUUAGAUACUUGGAAGGCAUAUAUGAUGAUUGAGAUAUUUGGGAACCAGUGUCAUGCUUGCUUUCACCUUCAUCUGGCCAACCUUUGAGUAUAGGGGCCUCCUAGGAGCCUCAGAUCUUAUGAUUGCUCAAGCUACAAAACAAAAGAUGUUAGUGACAUAUUUUGUGCUCUUGGUUAGUAAACAAAAUAAGAAAAGCAAUAAUAUACAAUUCAAGCAUGCUUGGUAGUCUCAGACCAACUCACACAAGUCCCACCCUAGGGUUAGGAGCCAAGAUGCCAUGAUCCUUGAGGCAAAUGCAAUGUGCAAUGAUAUGAUGCCAUGAGGGAUCUUAGGGUCAAAAUUAGGGUCUUACAACUCUAACGAAAUUUUUCUUAAGUGUGCAGGACUCUGAUCAAACAUCAGAUAGAAAAAUACAUCAGAUACAGAAUUCAACUAUCAGAUGCUACUUAGAGAGAACGCGUCCAGAAGGCUUUGACUCUGACCAACGUUGUUACCAGCGCAACAAAAACAAGUCAGAAACUCUGGUAAAGAAUAUUGAAUCCAGACUCUGAAUCUGAAGAAGUCAAGAGCAUAGAGAAACUCUGAUGUGGUCAGAUAUAAUCAACCUCUGAAGUUAAACUCUGAUUUACCAAGACUCUGAUACAGAUUCACCAAUUCAGAACUCGUAACCGAAAAGAAAUCUGGUUUUGGAAAGAAAUUAUUUCUAGAAGGAAAUAAUGAGGCACACAAAACUGUUUUAGAAAGAAACAAGGAGAGUAAAUGAAAAUAAACCUUCUUCAAUGACCAAGAUUCUGUCAUCUCUCCAACGGUUCUUCUCAAUGCCUAUAUAAAGGACUGAAUACUUCUCAAGAGAACACAUCUGAGACACACAAAAUACAACAACUCUCAUUCAUCUUCUCUUUAUGUUUCAUGAGCUGCUGGUCUUACGUGAAAAACCAUUGUUCUUAUAAUUCUGUAAUACUUGCUUGUUUGUUAGAAGCACAUUACAUUACAAUUCAUACUUUUGCUUAAAAUACUUCCUCAAGUGACUCUGUGUAGUCUGACUUGAGAGGGCUAAGGGAUUAUUCUCUUAGACGAUUGGUUGUGUAAUCUUUCAAGAUUAGUGGAUUAAAUCCUUUUUAAAGGCGAAAUCACCUUGGCCGGGUGGACUGGAGUAGCUUUGAAUUUCAAGCGAAUCAGUAUAAAAUCAUGUGUUAUAUUCCUUUUAUUCUAUGUGUGUCUAAUUUCUCAAAAAGUUUUUAUUUCCUAAAACAAUUCAAACCCCCUUUCUUGUUUUUCUCUACCUUCAAUUCUCAUCAUAACUUUCAAGUUGCUAAAGAAGAGUACUUGCUGCUUCUUGUGAUGAUGAAGACUUUAUCAAUCAUUCGAUUCGAAUUGCACUAAAGUCUAUGAACAAAGGCAAAUAUCUUGAGUAUCUAGGUCAUUCAUCCCAUAUCCAAGGACACCCUAGACAAGGAUAAGAAUUUUCUACUCUCAUCAUUCUUUGUUACUUAAGGCUCAUGGCAUACAACUUGAAUCGUGAUUGAUAAGUUGUUGAUGGAGUCUUCCAAUUGUUGCUUUGUGAAGUGAGACUUGACAAUCAUUUGAUUCGAAUCGAGCUAAAGUCUAUGAAUAGAGGUGAAUACGAUGAGCAACUGAGUCAUUUGCCCUGUACCCAAAGAUAUUCAUAAUGAGUUAAUAAAAUUAUCCAAUCUCUUUCAUUCUCUAUUUCUUAAGGCUCAUGUCACACAAUUUGAAUCUUGAUUGACAAGCUCUUGAAGAAACACCUUUGAUGUGCCUUGCAUAGUCAACUGCUUGAUUUGUCUGGGAUGCCUUGAUUGAACGUCUGAACUUGAGGCCUUGAGAUCCAUAGGAUUACAAGAACUAGUCUUAUCAAGUGAUCAAUGAACUUUUGAUCAUUUGAAUAAACUGAGGAAUUAUACAUAAAUCAAAGGAUUUAGUUCAUCAAUUUUUUUGAUCAACUUAAAUCAAAGGGAUUGAAUUAAUGGUUAAUUAUAUACAACCUAAUCUAAAGGUUAAUCAAAUUAUAUGUACAAACCCUAAGCUAAAGAAUCAUGCAAAAAAAAAAAGGAUUUUCUACCUAGGGGAAAAAUAGUCAAUAUGUACAAAUUGAUUAAAUGGAAAUAAAAUCAAGAUUAUAUAAAAUCAAGAUUAUAUAAAACCAGUUAAUUAAAACAGAUCAUGAAUAUGAUGAAUAUAAACUUAGGCUAAAUUCAAUUUAACAAAACCUAAAAUUUCUAAAGGUUUUAAUUAAUUGAUUAAUCAUCAUUAACAACUUAAAUCGCAAUUAAUUAACUAAUUAACCUAAAUUACAAUUAGUCCUAAUUAACCUAAUUAAUAGCUAACCAUAUUAAUAGCUAACCAUAUUAAUCCUAAUUAAACCUGAAAUAUUAAUUAACCUAAUCAAGCUAAUUAACAUGAAUUAAUUAAAUAAGAGGUUCAAAAGGGUGCUGGAACCUGGAGGAGGUGGAAACAAGAGGAAGUUUGUUUGGGCCUGAAGCUUAAGGCCCACGGUCACUCUAAUUGUUUGUCUUCAGGAAGGGUAUGAAGUUGCUGAAGGAGGCGUGAAUAGGGAGUUUCGGCCUCAAGCCCAAACGUAAGCAUCACAAGCCAGGUCCACGCAUCUACACAAAAAUCCAGAUCAAAUUUCUCAAUCCAAACGUGAGGCAUUCACAAAAUGCUUUAGCCUGAACCAAUUUCUUCGCCGCUUCCUCCGUAAUUUCAUCCUCUCACAUCGAUUCCACGCUUCCGUUUUCAACCGAAGCUAUGAAUAACAUUGAACCUGGAGCCAACAUCAUUUGAAUUCUAAAUCAAAAUCCACCUUGACACAGCCAAGACUUCAAUCACGUUAAGCUCCGAGAUCCAAAUCAACAUCUAAUUCGCUUCAUUAUUGCGCACCAGAAUCGAAAGAAAUUGAAUUGAAGCGAACACCACAGCGAGUCAUGGAUCGCAAUGAGAAGGUAGAAGAAAAUUUACCGGAAUUUGAGCUCAAGCUUUGUGGCACGAAUAGGUACCGAUUCUCUCUGCCUUGCUAUGCAUACACCUCUUCUUCUCCUCGCUUCUGUUUUUUAUCCCUCCGUUUUCUGUAUUGAGUGUGUUGUUAUGUAAUUGAGAUGAGAUGAGAGAGUAACGAGUCUGAGAGUGAAAAAUGGUGGAGGUCUAAGCUCUACCAAUUGAAGCUUCAUUAUGAAGCUUCAAUGGCGUGUUCUGAGGAAGAGCUUUGGUGAGGGUUGAUUCCAAGGGAGAGAGAGGAUCUGAAAUCGAUCUUUGUGAGAUUUCUGAGAGUGAAAUGUUCAGAGCUACAGCUGAACUGCGAUGAGAGCUCUUAUAGAGUCCAAUUCUGUUACAAAUUCACCUGAAAUUUAGGUUAAAUGUAUAUUGAAAUUAAGAAGUUAGUUAUGAAAUGCACUAGUUAGUUGGUUGGUUGAUCGUAAUGAUUCUGUUAAUGGAAUUGAAAUUAAUUUGAAAAUGAAUUUGAGGUUAAUUUGUUUGGAUUUAUUGUACUGUAAUUCAAUUUUCCUUGAACUUGAUCAUUCUGCCGAAAUGUACUUCAAAGUGUUACUGUUGAACGAAAAUAAGUUAUUAAGUUGUUAAUGCCACUGCAAUGUAAACUAGGUUCUGUUAGGAAAGUCAGUUUGGGUCCAAUUUUAUUACUAACAUGUUUUGCUUUGUAAAGCUGUUAAAUCCUAUUGAUACUCAAACAUUGAAAUUGAUGGCUACCGCCAUUCCUGUGAUUGGUGAGUUAUCAUGAUGCCUUUUGUUGAUGUGAAGAUAUAUUGUUGACUGAACUGCAAACUUGUUGCAGGCAUUUGGACUGAGGUGCCUUGAUUUGUUGUUGAAGGCAUUAUUAAUCAAUGAGGCUUGCUAAAUUAUGCUGAAAUCCAUGGUGUUCAUGUUCCUGCUCGUGGCUUUGAUGGACUCCAAUGCUUGGUAUGUUGUUAUGGCAAUUGAAUAACAUGCUUGGAUGUUACCACGUGAUUAAUAUUUGCUUAAUUUGCUGCAAAUUAUUACUGAUGAUGACCAUCUGACAUUGCAGGAUCCAGGAUUGAGAGGCAAAGUUUUUUCAUGAAGCAAUUGGUUUAUGAUGCAUAGGUACGGGUACGGUACCCGGUGCGGGUACCGGUAAUGGUACGGGAUACGCCAUUUUAAAAAAAAUUAAGGUACGGGUACGUUAAUAAAAAAUAAGAGUUUUCUAUAAAAUGUAUGGGGAGAAAACUAAAUUGUUAGGUUCACAAUAAUACAUCACUAUAAAAGUUUAAAAAAUAAAAAAUAAUAUUAAGAUAUAGUAACGAAGAAAUGAAAAUACAUAAAUAUACUACAUUGAUAUUUGAAAAAACAAAAAAUUUCACUUGAAAUCGAAUAAUCAGAAAAGAUGAAGUACCACGAGUACGGUACGUGUACCUGGUACGGAUGCGCACCCGAUACCAGUACUUCACCAUUUUAGAAGUACCCAUGCUUCAGAGCAAUUGGUGUUAACUGAUGUACAAUGUGUAUGCUCAUAUGUUAUUGCCAUGAAUUUGAUGUGCUUGUCAUGGAUGUAUUGCUGGUUUGUGUGCUACAUGAUGCAAGGCUGCAAUUGUCAUGCUUGGAUGAACACUUUGGUCAUGGUUUGCAUAGACUCAUGGGGUGUUCUGACUUGUUCUUGGUUUUGUAGGUAUAACUUAUGAACAUUGCCUUAAUUCUGACCUUGGUAUAACCUCAUGUGACAAGGUUUAACAUGUCGCACCAUGGCUUUGUUUUGCUAGGUUUACUUGCACAAGCUAAGUUCAUGACAUGGCAUUGAAUAUCAUGUGCAAAUGGCCAAAUCAAAAUCAAGAUGGAACUGGAAAAUGGGAUUAGGAUUAGCAUUGGCAUUUAGUGGUUUAGGAUGGAAAAUCACUUUGAGUUGACUUUGGUCAAAGUUGAACAAAAAGUCAACUGUUGACCAAAGUUAAUAUUUGUUAAACAUGUAUUUUUUUUGGUAUUUUUUGUAUGUAAAGAACAAUUUAUGGUCAUGUAAUGAAUGGGAUUGAUGCAUUUAAAUGAAAAUGAAUGGAUUUGGUACAUGAAUAUGUUAUUUAAAAUGGUUUGAAUUUAGACUUAAA